UACGAAGGGGGCUAGCGUUGUUCGGAUUUACUGGGCGUAAAGCGCACGUAGGCGGAUCGUUAAGUCGGGGGUGAAAUCCUGGAGCUCAACUCCAGAACUGCCUUCGAUACUGGCGAAUCUUGAGUCCGGAAGAGGUGAGUGGAACUCCUAGUGUAGAUGGUGGAAUUCGUAGAGUAUUAGGAAGAACACCAGUGGGCGAAGGCGGC
rnacentral:rRNA from 1 species